rnacentral:rRNA from 1 species
UGCCAGCCAGCCGCGGUUAUACCACUCAGUGACCCAAAUUAAAUAAAGAAAGCUAAAAAGGUGGUUAGGUGUAGUAUUAGUGGGUAGGCUUGUAAUUUGAAAAGUUUAUGGGUGUAAUCUGGAGACUAAAAUAAUUCUUACUCAAGCAACUGAUUGAAGCCACGUGACUUAGAAUCAAGGACCGGGAUUAGAUACCCCGUUACUCUAAGCGUUAAGUAAGUUGAAAAUUGUUACUAGUCUGCUGGGCAACUAUGUCUAAAUGGGUCAAAGUCGAAGUACUUGGCGGUCUAGAAAACCCAGCUCGCGAGACUUGACGAUUAAACCGAUGAUCCGCGUGAAACCUUACUUGUUCUCGAAUCUUAUCAGUUGGUGUAUGGUCGUCGUAAGUUUGUGCUGUCAGGGUCUUAAAGUAGUUCGAUUACGGUCGAUCUUAGUUGUAAAGAAACAAGCAAGAAACGUUUUAAUUUUUUAGGGUGUGCUAUUUUUUAAAUUCGUAGUAAGUCAGAUCGUUAUGCUGCCUAUGAACAAGGUUUAGUUGAGUCACAAUGUGUAGGUAUUGUAAUACGGAAGUUUAUUUGAAAUAGUAGAUGGAAGAAGGAGUGGGUAGUAAUAAUAAAUUAGUACGUUAUUAUGAAUAGAGAACUUCUAGGUGUACAAAUCGCCCGUCGCCCCCGAGGUGACUUGGGGGUAAGUCGUACU